rnacentral:tRNA from 1 species
GCGUCGGUGGUACAGCGGUAAAAUACUUGCCUAAUAUGCAUGUGGUCCGGGGUUCAAUCCCUGGCCGACGUA